UUAGUGAACUACCUAAAAAACAUUUCUGAGGCUCUGUUAGCGACUUAGCAUGCUACAUUUAAGCGAUUUGGGGGUAUGUUUUCAUAUAAGAUUAAGUUUGCUAGUAGGGUUAGCCACAGAAAGUUAGUUUGUUAGUUAGUGAACUACCUAAAAAAUAUUUCUGAGGCUCUGUUAGCGACUUAGCAUGCUACAUUUCAGAGGUUUGAGGGUAUGUUUUCAAAUAAAAUUACACUAGAAUUGGCUAUUUGGUAGCAAUUUUCAGGGGUUUAGUUAAUUUGUAUGUUAAUUAACGAGCUACAAAGCUGUCAAGAUUUAGAGGAUUGAGGUUAUGUUGUUAGCUAGCUAGAUAUUUAAUUUUGGUAAGUGUGUUAGGAUAGCGAUGGUUUACCAAAUAAAGCUACAGAGUUUUUGCGAUUUAAGUAUAGGUUUACAUAGAUUACGUUAAUUACGAGUCUUUAAUUAAUAAGAUUUGCAAAAAUAUCUAGCGACUUUUCAGAAGUUCGUGGCUACGUAUGGAACCCUCGCUAAUGAGCAAGGCAGCUACCAUGAUCACAAAAGUUAAUUGAGGCCAGAUGCACGUUGUCGCUGCUAACAGCCAUGGUGAGAGGACGCAGGAAGUGUCGUUACGUAACCUGCCAGGUGGCGCUCUCCUCAGCUGUGGACCAGCCAACAGAUUCUGCGCCUCUUCUAGCGUUUUUUUUUUGUGGGAUUUUCUUACCUCCAACUCAAAUGGUGUUUGGAAUUUACCCCAUUCCUGGACCCUCCUGCCACCGAGCACACUCCAACUGUUAUUGGUCACACUCCCAAGUGCUCCCGAGGACUUCCAGGGUUACAGUAACGUCCAUAGAAGUCUGUUAAAAAAAACUGUAAGCAUGCAGAGCCAUCCAAAAAUUAUUAUUUACAUUAUUUAACCCGCGAAUACGGCAUUGUAAUAGUCAGACUUUUGAAGUAAAAUGUCAAAGAAUUGCUAAUGAAGUUAUAUUUUUUGAAAAUGUCAAAAAAUUACGAGAAUUACAAAAUUACGAGACUAAAAAUAUAAUUUGAAUAAGGAAUGCCCAAAAAUAAAAUUGCAGCAUUCGGAAAGUGAUGUUAUUUGAAAUUCUAUUGAGUUCUGGAUUCCUA